UACGAAGGGGCUAGCGUUGCUCGGAAUCACUGGGCGUAAAGGGUGCGAUAGGCGGGUCUUUAAGUCAGGGUGAAAUCCCGGGGCUCAACCCCGGAACUGCCUUUGAUACUGGGUAUCUCGAGUCCGGAAGAGGUGAGUGGAAUUCCGAGUGUAGAGGUGAAAUUCGUAGAUAUUCGGAGGAACACCAGUGGCGAAGGCGGCUCACUGGUCCGGUACUGACGCUGAGGUGCGAAAGCGUGGGAGCAAACAGG
rnacentral:rRNA from 1 species